AGAGUUUGAUCCUGGCUCAGGAUAAACGCUGGCGGCGUGCGUAACACAUGCAAGUUGAGCGACGGAAUUGGAAGUUGGAGACAACGGAAGGUUUACGGAGCAGCGGACUGGUGAGUAAUACAUGAGAAGCUGUCCAUCAGAGGGGGACAACGUUUGGAAACGAACGCUAAUACCCCGUAGGCCGAAAGGUUAAAGCAGUAAUGUGCUGGUGGAGGUGCUCGUGUCCUAUCAACUAGAUGGCGGGGUAACGGCCCACCAUGGUAACGACGGGUAGCCGGCCUGAGAGGGUGUCCGGCCACACUGGGACUGAGAUACGGCCCAGACUCCUGCGGGAGGCAGCAGUGGGGAAUAUUGGGCAAUGGGAGAAAUCCUGACCCAGCGACGCCGCGUGAACGAAGAAGGCCUUCGGGUCGUAAAGUUCUUUUAUACUAGAAGAAGAAAAUGACGGUAUAGUAUGAAUAAGCCCCGGCUAACUACGUGCC
rnacentral:rRNA from 1 species